rnacentral:rRNA from 1 species
GACGAACGCUGGCGGCGUGCCUAACACAUGCAAGUCGAGCGAAGUGAGUACUACGGUACGAACUUAGCGGCGGACGGGUGAGUAACGCGUGGACAAUCUACCCUGUAGACUGGGAUAACACCUCGAAAGGGGUGCUAAUACCGGAUAAUGUCGAGAAGCGGCAUCGCUUUUCGAAGAAAGGAGAGAAUCCGCUAUAGGAGGAGUCCGCGUCCCAUUAGCUAGUUGGUGAGGGUAACGGCCCACCAAGGUGACGAUGGGUAGCCGGCCUGAGAGGGUGAACGGCCACACUGGAACUGAGACACGGUCCAGACUCAUACGGGAGGCAGCAGUGGGGAAUAUUGUGCAAUGGGGGAAACCCUGACACAGCAACGCCGCGUGAGCGAAGAAGGCCUUCGGGUUGUAAAGCUCAUAGUAUGGGAAGAUAAUGACGGUACCAUACGAAAGCCCCGGCUAACUACGUGCCAGCCGCCGCCGUAACAC